rnacentral:rRNA from 1 species
CACGAAACUUGCCCCGAGAUGAGUUCUCCCUGAGACUUUAGGUCUCCUGAAGGAACGUUGAAGACGACGACGUUGAUAGGCCGGGUGUGUAAGCGCAGCGAUGCGUUGAGCUAACCGGUACUAAUGAACCGUGAGGCUUAACCUUACAACGCCGAAG